GAUGAAUGCUGGCGGCGUGCCUAAUACAUGCAAGUCGAGCGGUAAGGCCCUUCGGGGUACACGAGCGGCGGACGGCUGAGUAACGCGUGGGAACAUGCCCCAAAGUGAGGGAUAACGCACCGAAAGGUGUGCUAAUACCGCAUAUGGUCUUCGGAUUAAAGGAUUUAUCCGCUUUGGGAGUGGCCCGCGUACGAUUAGAUUGUUGGUGAGGUAACGGCUCACCAAGUCGACGAUCGUUAACUGGUCUGAGAGGAUGAUCAGUCAGACUGGAACUGAGACACGGUCCAGACUCCUACGGGAGGCAGCAGUAAGGAAUCUUCCACAAUGGGCGAAAGCCUGAUGGAGCAACGCCGCGUGCAGGAUGAAGGCCCGUCGGGUCGUAAACUGCUUUAUGAGUGAAGAAUAU
rnacentral:rRNA from 1 species